GGGCGUAUGGUCUAGUGGUACGACGUCUCAGUUACAAAAAAUGUUCGUUGUCUUGAAACUGUUAGAAUGAUGUAACAGAUGAAAGAGUUCGAAUAAUACAAUGCUCCGUGAGAAGGUCCCGGGUUCAAACCCCAGCACGUCUA